rnacentral:rRNA from 1 species
AAUAUUGCGCAAUGGGGGCAACCCUGACGCAGCAACGCCGCGUGUGGGAAGAAGGCUUUCGGGUUGUAAACCACUUUUGCCCGGGACGAAAAGGGGCGUCAGAAUACGGCGCUUCGAUGACGGUACCGGGAGAAUAAGCCACGGCUAACUCUGUGCCAGCAGCCGCGGUAAGACAGAGGUGGCAAGCGUUGUUCGGAGUUACUGGGCGUAAAGAGUCUGUAGGUGGUUUGUCAAGUCUUUGGUGAAAGGCCGUGGCUUAACCAUGGGAAUGCCAAAGAGACUGGCAGACUGGAGGCUGGGAGAGGGAAGCGGAAUUUCUGGUGUAGCGGUGAAAUGCGUAGAUAUCAGAAGGAAGGCCGGUGGCGAAGGCGGCUUCCUGGAACAGGCCUGACACUGAGAGACGAAAGCGUGGGGAGCAA